rnacentral:rRNA from 1 species
UACGUAGGGUCCGAGCGUUGUCCGGAAUUACUGGGCGUAAAGAGCUCGUAGGUGGUUUGUCGCGUUGUUCGUGAAAACUCACAGCUUAACUGUGGGCGUGCGGGCGAUACGGGCAGACUGGAGUACUGCAGGGGAGACUGGAAUUCCUGGUGUAGCGGUGAAAUGCGCAGAUAUCAGGAGGAACACCGAUGGCGAAGGCAGCUCGCUGGGACGGUACUGACGCUGAGGCGCGAAAGCGUGGGGAGCAAACAGG